AUGGCACCCCACUCCAGUACUCUUGCCUGGAAAAUCCCAUGGACGGAGGAGCCUGGUAGGCUACAGUCCAUGGGGUCGCAAAGAGUCGGACAUGGCUGAGUGACUAAACUAAACUAUCUCAUAUAGUUCAGCGUUAGUCCAGGAAUACAAGAAGUUAAAGGUUUAGCCUCUGGAUACCAAGAAUGUUUAAUUUUAAAGGAUCAGACAAGUUCAGAGGAAAAGGAAGUGGAAGAAUUUCAGAGAAAAAAGGAAGUUGCUAGGAGAAUUAGAAUGGGGGAAGACAGGGUGUAGAGGAUACGUAGGCAGAAUAGAGAGGACAGAGGAAGAUGGCACAGGAGGCAGAGUCUGACCAGGAGGAGCCACAGUAGAGAUACAAAUGGUGCUGGAGGCAGAGCCUGAGACCAAGAAGCCAAAGAGAAAGAGCCUGAGGAUUCAAGAACUAUUUUAUGUUCCUUUAAUCACUUGUUUGCCUCAGUUAAUCUUAAAACGUGAUAACAUUUGGAAACCCCAACAUUUGGGAAAAUCAAAAUAGGCAUUCCUUUCAGCUCUUGAAAUUUUAAAGCUAUUGUAAUCUAGUUAAACUUUAAGAAAAAACAUUUGGGAUUUCAAAAGUUCCCUAUGAUGGCAUAGAUAUUCUAAACUGUCUUUGGUCAGGUUGGUCCAUUUAGCUUGAAAUACACAUGAAGACGGACUUUUAACAUAAAAUCAGUCAGAGUCCCUAUAGGGGAAAACACAUAGAAAAUAUUUAGAUAAGUGGAUCCUAUUUCUCAGAGGUUUUUCUCUAGAAAAAAAAAAGCAAUUUUCAAACAAUUCAAAGGGCUUAUAGCUCAAACAGCUUAAUUCAAACAGCUUGCAAUUCAGCCUGCAAGAUAAUUCCAGCCAGUUUUAGGGAAGCAGUUUGGUCCUGGAGGGGUGGAGCCAAAGACUUUUCAGCCAGUUUCCAGAGAACAGCCCCUAAUCCAGGCCAAUGUCUGGCAAACAGGCACAGCUUUAGUGAAGCAGCCCGUGUUACUGAAGAAAUGGGCCCGUGGCUUUUUGGUCAGCUUCAGUUGAAACUGUCUAAUCUCAAAUCAGAACACAGUACCAAAUGAGUACUUGUAUAGUGAAUAAAGCCUUAACCAGAAAGGUUAAACCUUAACAUAAAUCCCCAAUGCAAAGAGAGCUUUAAGUGCAAAGAGGACAUGAGCUUACAUGCAGGAGAAAGAAAUAACCUUUAAACUCCAGGGUUAGUGAGAAAAGCUGUGAGCAUAUGGGCUCAAGUGUGGUUAUGGCACCUGUUUACUCAGUAUCCCCACAGCCUUCAGGGAGUCUUCUCUAGUUCUUAUAUGGGUCACCAAAAUGUGGAUCUAAAAUAAAUUGACUGCCAGAUGUUUCUCCAGCAAAGAUGGGCUUAUUCACGGUAAGCUGAGAAUUGCAAUUCGAGAUCUGCAACCAUGGCAAGCCAUGUGCAUGUCCCCACACAGCAACAGAAGGAGAAUGCUUUCACAGAGGGAAGAAAGAAGCUGCGAGUGCUACAGCAAACAGAGUCCAUGGCUUUUCAUUGUACAAGUCCUUGACAGGAGUGAGAACUGUUUACCUUGUUGAACUGUUACCAUCUUAAGACAUAAGAGUGUCCCCUUCUGGUCUGUUUAAUUGAGGUUUCUAUUUAUUAUUUUUUAAGAUAAGUAAUGAUUUUUAGUAUUUGAAAGACUUUCUAGAAAAUAGUGCUUACAAAAUGAUUUCAUACCUUUUAUUUUCUUGAUAUGGUUGGAUCAGAUAAGUGAAAAUAGAUAUGUAUAGACAAAUAACUUGUUUUAAUCAAAGAAUUGACUCUCUUCUCUUAUGUUUAGAGGGAGGUGAUAGAAAUGUGGAAUUCAUGAUGGUGUGGCUAGAAGGUAGCUGGUAGAUAAAACCAAUUAUUAUUGACUGAUGGACUGAUAUUGAUUUGGAUGCAGAUAUUUGAUUACUUACCAUAUUAUUUUGUCCUUGAUAUCACCCUCCAUACUGUUUCUACUUAUAUGUAAAUAUAAUAAAAAAUGGAUGUUAACAUAUUUGGUAGAUGUCGUAAGUCUAGGAUAGAUAGCAAAAGACUUGGAUCACAAAGUAAACCCUAAAGUAGAAAUUUCUUUUACUGUAAUGAUGAGUCAUGGUCAAAAUUAUAAAUUUAGUCAUAGGUUAUUAAAAUCUCAAUUAUACAUCAUAAAAUCAGCUUUUGUGGUAUGGUAGCAGCUAUUUGUCAAUGUCUAGAGAUUUAUAAGAACUAUAAAAUGGACAUUGGUCCUUAGUAGUAAAUAUGGGGAGAGAGAAGGGCUUCAGAAUGUAUUUUAUAGAUAAAAGAACAUAGAAAGGAUGAUAAAAAAUGACUUCUGACAUUUUUUAAGAAAUUAAUGAACAAAGAGUAAGUCCUAUUGUAGGAAAGUGUUUCAGAUUAGGUGCUGGUAAUCAGGAUUUGUGGUGAGAGAGCCAGAUUUAGAGCAGCUCUCAAUAUUACUUAUGGAGCUUGAGGUGAUUGGUGAUUUUUAUUCUUACUUCUUUUAAAAAUCUGAUAUCAUCUACUCUACCAAGUGCCAAUGCUGAAAAAUGGAGACACUACAUCCCCAAAUGGUGAGGCUGAGGGAGUUUGUUUUAGAAGAGAAUGAAAUGCCUGGAGGCUAUAGAAAUACUGAACUUAAGCAACUGGCAGUACUGAUGGCAGAGCAAUAAAGCUUCUCCUGAUUUGCCUCAGAGACCAAAGAGGGAAUUCAAUUUGGAAAUUGCAAGGAUUUGGCACCAAAAGUGGGAGAGCAAAUUGACAAAUGGAAAGUUUGGUUAAAAUAUACUGUCUUGUAAACUCAUCUGCACAGUGAAAAAUUGCCAUCUGUAUGUCCAUUGGGUGGAUGCAAGUUGGUACUGUAGUUGAUUGUGUUUCCUUGACAAUAAAAAAGUCCUCAAAUGA